GGCAAGAUGGCCGAGCGGUUAAGGCGUGUGACUCAAGCAAUUGCUUACCUGCUUCUCAGGUUGAAAGUCUUCUCAUAACGUAAUGUUGCGUGGGUUCGAAUCCCACUCUUGUCA
rnacentral:tRNA from 1 species